CUUAAAGAAGCCAGUGCCGUCUUCGGGCCCUACUUGGUGGGAGAGUGCCACUGGACCCUCUUUCAUUGCAACUUGAAAGAGGGAACAAUAACUUACAUUGAUUCCUUGGGGGAGCAACCACAGCGUUGCUUCCAAAUAAUAGAAAAUUGGAGCUUAUUUGCUGCUAGCAGAGGCUGCCAAGGGCCCUGGAAGCUGAUACAGAGGGACCAUGACUUGCAAAACGACUCUGUGUCAUGUGGAGUGUUUGCAAUAAUGUUUGCAGAAAUGGUCCUCCAGGGACAAGAAGGUCACCUCCAAUGCCUCCCCAUUGCUCAAGAGCGGGAGAGACUUGGGACUUUGUUGAUUAACUCCC